CUGCAUGGUGGGAGCUGUCAUUCUUCUUUCUUUCAAGGAGAAUGAAUAUUCCUUCAAUGCUAUAAAGAUAAGGAGUUUUCAGGGCCACCAGCCUUGGAGCAGAGGCUGAGUGGUAGUAUAUUUCUUCUACAUAU